rnacentral:misc_RNA from 1 species
UACGUAGGGGGCAAGCGUUGUCCGGAAUUAUUGGGCGUAAAGCGCGCGCAGGCGGUCUCGUAAGUCUGAUGUGAAAGCCCACGGCUCAACCGUGGAGGGUCAUUGGAAACUGGGAGACUUGAGUGUAGGAGAGGAGAGUGGAAUUCCAUGUGUAGCGGUGAAAUGCGCAGAGAUAUGGAGGAACACCAGUGGCGAAGGCGACUUUCUGGCCUACAACUGACGCUGAGGCGCGAAAGCGUAGGUAGCGAACAGG